UACGUAGGGUGCGAGCGUUAAUCGGAAUUACUGGGCGUAAAGCGUGCGCAGGCGGUUUUGUAAGCCAGAUGUGAAAGCCCCGGGCUUAACCUGGGAAUGGCAUUUGGGACUGCAAGGCUUGAGUGCGGCAGAGGAGACUGGAAUUCCUGGUGUAGCAGUGAAAUGCGUAGAUAUCAGGAGGAAUACCGAUGGCGAAGGCGGAUCUCUGGGCCUUACCUGACGCUGAGGCGCGAAAGCUAGGGGAGCGAACAGG
rnacentral:rRNA from 1 species